rnacentral:rRNA from 1 species
UGGUUGUCGCUGGCUUUCAGGAGCAUGUGCACGCCUCUCUUCUUAGUUCUCACAUUCACCUGUGCACCUCUUGUAGACCCGAGACAAACUCUUGUCGAGGAAACUCGGAUGUGAAGGUUGCGGGCCUCUUCGGACGGUCGGCUUCCCUCUAAUCGUUUGACUCGCGUGUCUACGUUUUUACAAACCCUUUUUAAAAAUGUCAACAGAAUGUCAUCAACGGUUCGCCCUAAAAAAGCGAGCUUUAAAUUAUACAACUUUCAACAACGGAUCUCUUGGCUCUCGCAUCGAUGAAGAACGCAGCGAAAUGCGAUAAGUAAUGUGAAUUGCAGAAUUCAGUGAAUCAUCGAAUCUUUGAACGCACCUUGCGCUCCUUGGUAUUCCGAGGAGCAUGCCUGUUUGAGUGUCAUUAAAUUCUCAACCUUCUCCGUCUUUGCUGACGGGGUCGUGCUUGGACGUGGGGGUUUGCGGGCUUCCUCAGAAGUCGGCUCCCCUUAAAUGCAUUAGCGGAACCUUUGUGGACCGUCUAUUGGUGUGAUAAUUAUCUACGCCAUCGACGCGGACGCUGUUAUAUGGGGUUCAGCUUCUAACCAUCCCGCAAGGGAUAACAACUUAAUUGACAU